rnacentral:tRNA from 1 species
AGAAAAGUAAGCUAAAUUUAAGCUAAUGGGUUCAUAUCCCAAAUAUAGAGGCGACUCUCUUUUCUA